rnacentral:rRNA from 1 species
AUUGAACGCUGGCGGCAUGCUUUACACAUGCAAGUCGAACGGCAGCGCGGUCUUCGCCCUGGCGUCGAGUGGCGAACGGGUGAGUAAUACAUCGGAACGUGCCCAGCAGUUGGUGAUAGCUCGGCGAAAUCCGGAUUAAUACCGCAUACGACCUUAGGGUGAAAGCGGGGGAUCAUCGGACCUCGCGCUAUUGGAGCGGCCGAUGGCAGAUUAGCUAGUUGGUGGGGUAAAGGCCUACCAAGGCGACGAUCUGUAGCUGGUCUGAGAGGACGACCAGCCACACUGGAACUGAGACACGGCCCAGACUCCUACGGGAGGCAGCAGUGGGGAAUUUUGGACAAUGGGCGAAAGCCUGAUCCAGCAAUGCCGCGUGUGUGAUGAAGGCCUUCGGGUUGUAAAGCACUUUUGGCGGGAACGAAAAGGACUGUGCCAAUACCACGGUUCGAUGACGGUACCCGAAGAAUAAGCACCGGCUAACUACGUG